CCUACGGGAGGCAGCAGUGGGGAAUAUUGGGCAAUGGGCGCAAGCCUGACCCAGCAACGCCGCGUGAAGGAAGAAGGCUUUCGGGUUGUAAACUUCUUUUCUCAGGGACGAAGCAAGUGACGGUACCUGAGGAAUAAGCCACGGCUAACUACGUGCCAGCAGCCGCGGUAAUACGUAGGUGGCAAGCGUUAUCCGGAUUUACUGGGUGUAAAGGGCGUGUAGGCGGGAAAGCAAGUCAGAUGUGAAAACCAUGGGCUCAACCUGUGGCCUGCAUUUGAAACUGUUUUUCUUGAGUGCUGGAGAGGCGAUCGGAAUUCCGUGUGUAGCGGUGAAAUGCGUAGAUAUACGGAGGAACACCAGUGGCGAAGGCGGAUUGCUGGACAGUAACUGACGCUGAGGCGCGAAAGCGUGGGGAGCAAACAGGAUUAGAUACCCGAGUAGUC
rnacentral:rRNA from 1 species